rnacentral:rRNA from 1 species
AGUGAACGCUGGCGGUAGGCCUAACACAUGCAAGUCGAACGCCAGCCCAGUCAUAGCUUGCCCAUACGGGUCGCGAGUGGCGGACAGGCGUAGAAUACAUCGCAUUCUACUUUUUCGAGGGGGAUGACGUGGGGAAACUUACGCUAAUACCUCAUACGACCUACGGGUGAAACCAGGGGAUCUUCAGACCUUGCGCGAGCGAAUGGUCCGAUGUCGGAUUAGCUAGUUGAAGGGGUAAAGGCGGACCAAGGCGACGAUCCGGAGCUGGUCUGAGAAGAUGAGCUAGCACACUGGAACUGAGACACGGUCCAGAGUCGUACGGGAGGCAGCAGUUGGGAAUAUUGGAGGAUGGGGGCAAGCCUGUUCCAGCCAUACCGCGUGGGUGAAGAAGGCCUUCGGGUUGUAAAACCCAUUUGUUCGGAAAGAAAAGCAGCAGGUUAAUACACCGAUGUUCUGACGGUACCCAAAGAAUAAGCACCGGCUAACUUCGUG